rnacentral:rRNA from 1 species
GAUGAACGCUGGCGGCGUGCCUAAUACAUGCAAGUCGAGCGAACGGAUGAGAAGCUUGCUCCUCUGACGUUAGCGGCGGACGGGUGAGUAACACGUGGAUAACCUACCUAUAAGACUGGGAUAACUUCGGGAAACCGUAGCUAAUACCGGAUAAUAUAUUGAACCGCAUGGUUCAAAAGUGAAAGACGGUUUUGCUGUCACUUAUAGAUGGAUCCGCGCUGCAUUAGCUAGUUGGUAAGGUAACGGCUUACCAAGGCAACGAUGCAUAGCCGACCUGAGAGGGUGAUCGGCCACACUGGAACUGAGACACGGUCCAGACUCCUACGGGAGGCAGCAGUAGGGAAUCUUCCGCAAUGGGCGAAAGCCUGACGGAGCAACGCCGCGUGAGUGAUGAAGGUCUUCGGAUCGUAAAACUCUGUUAUUAGGGAAGAACAAAUGUGUAAGUAACUAUGCACGUCUUGACGGUACCUAAUCAGAAAGCCACGGCUAACUACGUG